GGGAAGCCCCAAGCAGGGGCCCUCUUUGGUCCAGGAAUUGUCUUCUAAGCCCCCAUCCCCCCCGGGCCCCCCAGGCCUGUCGGAGUCAAAGGACAAUCAGGAGGACGCAAGCACAGCCCUGGGAGGACGAGCCCCCUCUGGCAGCAGCUGCUGUAGGGAAGCAAGAGCAGCCAGAGCAACCUGGGCGCACAGAAGCACGGGCCAAGGAGAGCCUGGGGCCUGGUGCUGGGAAGGGCUGGUUCCCAAACCAGGCGGCCAGAAAACGGCAGAACCAGGGCUGGAAGCGGCAUCAUCUCUUCCGCUCGUCUUCUCGCAUGUGCGGCUUCCCAGGUUCUGACUUUGUCAGCACAAGAAUCCAGGUGGCCCCCAGAAUCGGGGUUCGCUUUCCGAAGACUGUGACCCUGCAGGCUCCUCUGACCACGCAGUGCUGCGCAGUCGGUCUCACAGUAGGUCUGCAGGGAAUUCCGGUGGAGUGGAUGCGAGCAGACUCUUCUGAGCCCGAGGCUGGAAUGUGCGUGAGCGACGGCUCCCACCAACACCCUGUACCUUGGAGCAUCCGUGUGGGGUUUUCCUCGUCUGGCUGUUUACCACACAAGCAUCCAGCACACGCAGGUCUCUGGGAGGGGACUGUGCUGCAGCCAGGGACCUGCUGUUUAUUACGGUAGUGAUGGCUACUUUAUCAGGGCCAGCGCCGAUAAGGCUACGAGCCCUUUACAUCCGUGAUCGUAUUUCUUUCAACAAGAACUCUCCCAAGAUUAGCACUGUUUUCCCCAUUUGACACAGAGAGAGGCUGGACACCAGAAAGGUGACAAUGCUUGCCUGAGGUCGCCGAGCCAGGAGGCGAAGGGGCUCAGCUGAAACCCCAGUGAGAGCGCCCCAGCUCCCCUUCCCGCCCCCCACGGUGUUCCAGGCUGCAGCCUCCGUCUCUUCCCCCCACCUUGGGACCACACCUCUCCCUCCUGGUCUCUGGGCACUUGCCCCAUCACGUGGACGGUGGGGCAGGCAUCACCAGGGACGUCACAUUCUCAGAAAGUCAGAAAAGCUUCCUCAGAGAUCACCUGCUCCCAACACUCUUGCUCGGCAAACUGGGGCCGUAGAGGCUUGGUGGCUUGUUCGAGUCCCAGCCACCACCAGGUCCAGAAGGCCUCAGGGUGGUCUUUCCUCCCAUCAUUUUGCCUUGGCUUCACCUUCCCCACGCUGGGAGGCAGGGACAGGAGACCCACACGAGGCAGCAGAGAAGGAGGGCCUGAGUGUGAGCAGGACGCUGGAGGUGGUUCCAUCCCCUCGCACUUACACACAAGCCGGUGGUCGCAGCCCCCGUGCUCCGUGUCCGCAGAGGCCCGACCAGACCCCAGAUGUCUGACUGCCACUCAGGCGCCCUUCCACACUUGUCCCGCCCUCGUAACCCAUCCCCUUCCGAGGACGAGGGCGUCAAAGGAGCAAAAGGAGAUUCUGAAAGAGGAUCACAGAAGCAAAUGCCUCUAGUGACGACGCCGCGGUGGGGAAUGUAAAUGGCCAGAGUGGGCCAGGGGCAAGGAGACAGGGAGGGGUGGGGACUGGGGCACAGCCCUGUAAAGAGGGGACGGGCCCGGCCACACCCAGCCUCGGCUGUCAUAGCCACCUGCAACUGGAUCUUCCAAUUUGUCAAGGAAAGCUGCAGCUCUGGGGGUUUUUUUUAGUGGAAUAUCCUGUUUUUAAGUGUUAUAAAGCAAUUUCUUAAAAAUUUAAACACAUCUACUGACUGGUUCAGCCCCCAAGCCACCACUUAUACCCUCUGCUUUAGAAUAUUAACAUCUCUCAGGCAGGCAGGGAUGUCCGUGUGCCCCUGAGCUGCAUGUCAGCCCCACAAGGCCUACGCUGCCACGGCCAAGAAUAGCAGAAGGAGCCUUCUGGCCGGAAUGACAACUGACAUCAAGUGUUUGAAAUCAGGCAUGUCUGUACAACCUGCCACCCGUUCUCUUGUCAGCAGUCUUCGCCGCUCUUAGCAGCUGGGCUUCAAAGUGUGAUGAGGCCAGCAGGCAGAGGCCUGUACAGUGUCACCGUUCUCGUCCUGUCAUUAACGAGAGUCAGUUUACAUGAGCAUUGAGUGCUGAUAAGGGUGUCUGAGGACCGUCUCCGUAACUGCUCCAUAGAGCAGACAAUUUAUUGGACAGCCAAGGCCAGCCCAUUAGUCAUGGACUAUUAGAAGACGUUUCAGAUGUUGUUUUUAAACCAUCUUUUGAAACCAUUAGACAUGAACUUCACACAGGUAAUAUCAGGGAGGGGGGCAGCUGAGGGUCGCCUGGCAGCCAGUGCAACCAUUUCCGUUCAGACAGCUGCACGGGCUGUUUGAGGCUCAUGCCUAGGGGUCUGGAGACCUGUUGGGGUGCAUUAAAUGCAACCCCAACCAGCUAUGGAAGUGUAAGGAGUCACGAGGCACCUCCAGGCAUCACUGAGCUCCUCUGCACGAAGCGCCACUGGCCUGGGGGGCUCUGGAGAUGCCCUCUAUCCAGGGUGAGGUGCCAGCAUCCGGGUCUGCUCAGGAUCCCCGGGUCUCAUCACUGAGAGAACAGUCUCGGGAAAGCUCACAGACACACCAGCCCAUUUGGUCACCUCACUUCCAGCUCUGAUUUUUUUUUUUUUUAGGGCCGCACCCAUGGCACAUGGGGGUUCCCAGGCUAGGGGUCAAAUUGGAGCUGCAGCUGCCGGCCUCCACCACAGCCACAGCAACGCAGGCCCCAAGCCUUGUCUGCAACCCACACCACAGCUCACAGCAACGCUGGAGCCUUAACCCACGGAGCGACGCCAGGGAUGGAACCUGGGUCCUCAUGGAUGCUAGUCAGAUUCGGGAACUCCUGGCUCUGAUUUGUAAAUGCCCAUCAGACCAAGAAACGUGAGGGCACCUCUCACCGUCAAAGCUCAGCAACAAACACCAGGGUGGCGUGGACACGUUGCGAGUACUCGGGCGUCUGAAGAGCCCCACAGGGGCUGGUCCCUCUGUCAAGACCCUCCCUUGGCCUAAAUACUCCGAGUUUUCACGACACCUCAAGUGGGUUGAAAAGAGGGGCUCAAGUAGGUUCUUUGCAGGUUUUUUGGUGGGAGAACAAAAUGCCGCUGUUUCCCUCUCGGGCCGAGCUGACCUCCACACACAUCCAUGGAGGGGCCUCCUACGGGCAAGACCCUGGCUACGCAGACAGCGGGGGGUGGCCGCUGAGCCCUCCAGGCUGACCCAGCGCCGUCAGGGACACGGCCACGGCCGUGCGAGCUGCGUCGUUUCCCACGCAGCCUCAGGCCUCUUUUGUGGGAGGUGGAGAGGGACCAGUGGGUGUGACUGGUCCCGGGGGCGACGGGUAGCCUGGGCGCUGCCAGUGCGGCGUGUAACGUGACUCCCUGGGCUCCCGGGAACUGCAGUUCGGGCCCCGGCAGUCCUAACAAGCGCCGGUGCCACUGAGGCGGGUCUGGGGACCACACCUGGAGGAGCCGGGGGCUGGAUCUGACUCCUGCAUCCGCAGGGACAAGCCCACUCGGAGGAACGCGUCGGAUAUGAGCAGAUGCGCGAGGGCCGUUUAACCUGGCUGGUCCCGUUCAGCCCGUCUGCGUGUCUGUGUGUCUUCCAAACGGGGCUGGAACCGACCCGGGGCAGACCUGACAGCGCAGGCAAGGACGGCGGGAGGCAAGCCCUGCCCUCCCCAGCCGGGCCCCUCCCUCCUCAACCAGGCCCUGGGGCGGGGGCGGGGGUCCCUGGUUCUCCCCCCUUCUCCAUGUGCCCGCCUCCCCAGCGACUCGAGAACUUUCUAAGAUUCCCUCACGUCAAUUAGAAAAGCAUCAAAAUAAUCAGAGACAUGGAUAUGCAACCUGGCCUGGUCUAUAAGUUAGAAAAGCCAGAACUAGCCUAAAUGUCAAAAGGGAUUGAUUCAUUUAAGGCAUAUUUAUUAGAUGGACUAUUUUAGAACCAUAUUUCUGCAUAUAAAGGACAGGAGAUAAUCACCUCAUGACAGCAACUGUAAGUACAAAGUUGCAAACCUACAGGGAGCAGAAUGUGGCCUUUGUAGGAAAAAACAAGCUGCAGAGGGAAGCUCCAGAGAAACUGUAUCACAGUCUUAACAGGUCCAGGCUGGGGGUGGGCUCACCGUGUUUCCCCCUCCGGUUUGUCCUCCGGUGGCAUCGUUAAACACGGGGCUCUGGACACAGAUUUCUGGGUUCAAAUCCCAGUCCCACCAGCAGCUGGUUCUGUGGCCCUAGCCCAGGCCUGACCCGCGGUGCCUCCGCUUCCCAAACUCCAUGAGAACGGGAGCCAUACCACUGACCCUGGGGUUGGAGGGCGCAUUUGGGGAAAGGGCUGUGGGAGCUAACGGGCCUGGGAGUUAAAGAGGAGCAGCGAGGACCCGUCACAAAGGCAAGCCCGGGGGCUUCGGACAGCCGCCCCCACCACUGCUCAGGAACGACGAGCGCACACGCGGCUUCAACCUUGACGGCCGCCGGUCCCGUCUGAGAAGAGGGCGCCACAGCGAGGGGCCCGACCCUCUUUGCUCCUGUCUGGCCCUCCUCCUCCUGCCGAGGGAACAGGUGUGACAGAGCUACCAGCGGGGAAGCAGCUUCUGCCUGAAGCCAGAGCUCCCGGCCCCGGGCCUCCUCUCGCAGGGUCAGCCCCAGGCUCGCCCUCCGCAACGCUGCGGGGCUGGGUGGGCUGCGGGGGAAGUGGAGGGGGCGCCACCACCGUCCAACUGCCUUCUUUCUACGAGGGCCCCUGGGGGCCCUCCCUAUAACCUUACACCGAGCCUUUGUGCAGAAGGAAAAACAAAACCCAGGGGGCCUGAUCCGGCUCUGGAUAUGCACAUACACAGGUUGGGAUUUUCUAAAUGACAGCACCUGUUAAUUGUCUGGUUAGGUAUGACCUAUUAAACAUUUACCGCCCAUUUCCUGUACACGUCUGGUGAGGCCGGCAGGAAAUUUAGAACAAAUUAAACAGCAGCUGCAAUCCCUCGCGCUUUAAUGGUCCCCCGCGGUCCUGCGCGGUGUUGUAAAGUGGUAGGCAGCUCCAUCGGGGACAGGCGGGUUUCAUCAAGGAAGCCUCCACCUCCUCAUCCUCCUGCCAGCCAGGUCCCAUAAAGUGAAAUCGGCCGGCGCGCAUCUCCCUCCCAGGCCUCCCCCCACCCCGCCAUAUAUUUUAGGGGAGGCUGUUCAUCU
rnacentral:lncRNA from 9 species